rnacentral:rRNA from 1 species
UGGGGAAUUUUGGACAAUGGGCGAAAGCCUGAUGCAGCAACGCCGCGUGCGGGAAGAAGGCCCUCGGGUUGUAAACCGCUUUCAGAAGGAACGAAACUGACGGUACUUUCAGAAGAAGGUGCGGCCAACUACGUGCCAGCAGCCGCGGUGACACGUAGGCACCAAGCGUUGUCCGGAUUUAUUGGGCGUAAAGAGCUCGUAGGCGGUUCAGUAAGUCGGGUGUGAAAACUUUGGGCUUAACCCAAAGCGUGCAUCCGAUACUGCUGUGACUUGAGUACGGUAGGGGAGCGGGGAAUUCCUAGUGUAGCGGUGAAAUGCGCAGAUAUUAGGAGGAACACCGGUGGCGAAGGCGCCGCUCUGGGCCGAAACUGACGCUGAGGAGCGAAAGCAUGGGUAGCAAACAGGAUUAGAUACCCAUGUAGUCCCUGAGCGGGCUGGCAAGGCGCAU